GAUAAACGCUGGCGGCGCACAUAAGACAUGCAAGUCGAACGGACUUAACUCAUUCUUUUAGAUUGAGAGCGGUUAGUGGCGGACUGGUGAGUAACACGUAAGCAACCUGCCUAUCAGAGGGGAAUAACAACGAGAAAUCGUUGCUAAUACCGCAUAAGCUAGUAGCAUCGCAUGAUGCAGCUAGAAAAGGAGCAAUCCGCUGAUAGAUGGGCUUGCGUCUGAUUAGCUAGUUGGUGGGGUAACGGCCUACCAAGGCGACGAUCAGUAGCCGGACUGAGAGGUUGAACGGCCACAUUGGGACUGAGAUACGGCCCAG
rnacentral:rRNA from 1 species